rnacentral:rRNA from 1 species
GACGAACGCUGGCGGCGUGCUUAACACAUGCAAGUCGAACGGAAAGGCCCUGCUUUUGUGGGGUGCUCGAGUGGCGAACGGGUGAGUAACACGUGAGUAACCUGCCCUUGACUUUGGGAUAACUUCAGGAAACUGGGGCUAAUACCGGAUAGGAGCUCCUGCUGCAUGGUGGGGGGUGGAAAGGUUCGGCGGUUGGGGAUGGACUCGCGGCUUAUCAGCUUGUUGGUGGGGUAGUGGCUUACCAAGGCGUUGACGGGUAGCCGGCCUGAGAGGGUGACCGGCCACAUUGGGACUGAGAUACGGCCCAGACUCCUACGGGAGGCAGCAGUGGGGAAUAUUGCACAAUGGGCGGAAGCCUGAUGCAGCAACGCCGCGUGCGGGAUGACGGCCUUCGGGUUGUAAACCGCUUUCGCCUGUGACGAAGCGUGAGUGACGGUAAUGGGUAAAGAAGCACCGGCUAACUACGUG